AUACUUACCUGGCAGGGGAGAUACCUUGAUCACGAAGGUGGUUUUCCCAGGGCAGGCUGAUCCAUUGUACUCCUGAUGUGCUGACCCCUGCAAUUUCCCCAAAUGUGAGAAACUCAACUACAGAAUUUGUAGUAGUGGAGGACUGUAUUCGCAUCUCCCCU
rnacentral:snRNA from 1 species